AAAAAAAAAAAAAGGAACAUACCCCUUGGAAUCUUUGGCCAAUAGAUUCACCAACGAGAGCUACUCCUACAUUGUUUUCUUAUUACUUAUUUCUCAGUCUAUUUGCCUUGCUAGACCUUCAUGAUUCCUUCUCUUGAGGAAAGGUAGAAAGUAAAUUCACUUCCCUAUACUGAAUGUCCAGUGUAGUUUCUGGCACAUCAGUGUUCUCAGUGCCUGGUAACUUCUUGAUUGAGAACCAGAUGACUGCUGGAAGAAGCAUGGUAUGUGUCUGACUGACAUGAACAAUGCUCCUUGUCGUAUGCAUUUUCUGCAUUAUUUCUUUUUAUCUACAUCAGCAGUCUGCCUUUAAGGUAUAGGUCACUAUCUGGCAAUUGUAGGUAUUUUUUAAUGAAAAGCCUCAUUAUGAUAAUGUUUGUGGUAUAAAGAAUUUAUCUAAAUUUAUAUCCCUCUGAUGAAUAUAUCUUCAGUUGAGUACUCUCAACAAAACGAUUAGAUUAUUCUUACGAUGGGUAGAGUUUAUAAUUUUGCAAGGAUUAGGCAAAUAGCACACACACAGGAACAGAUUGGGCACAUGCCCCUUCCCCGCCCCCCCACAAGAGCUUUAAAGCAGUACAUUCUGCUCUAUGGAUGAUUGCCUCCUCUGUAAUCCAGUGGCAUAUGGCUAGGCUUGGGCAAGCAGGUGUCUGUACCUAAUCUGGCAUGUAUUGUCUCAGUUCAGGUGCUCGGCCAGGCUGAUGUUUACAGCUGCGCUGUGGUUGAAAUUCUAAAGCCAUAGCAGUUUAUUCUGAAUCCAAUGUACCUCUAGUCUAAAAUGUGGCAUUGUUGGCUUCUGGAAUUAUUUUCUAGUCUAUAAGAUGAUAGUAAAACUUAUUCUUACAGGGACUGUGAUAAGCAAAGUGAAGUUCAGUUCUAAAUUGUCAUAAAUGAAGUUAAAAAAGCUUUUUGUCUGUGUGGUGUUAGGUGGCAGAAAUGUUAUUAUAAGUAAGCCCCAAUUUCUUCUAGACACACUAUUGCCUAGCUCUAGUGAAUUGAUGAUUCCUUCAUAGAAGUAGGUAUAUCAAUCCUUUGACCCCUUGGAAAACUAGCAGUAUGUUCUAUUGGAUAAAACUCUUUCCAAGGAAUUUCUAGCUGGCUAGAUUAAAUUUGCCUUUGGUGGUAUAGCAUGUGGACUUGUAUCUUGAUAGUGAUUCCAUUUAAAUAUAUAGGAAAAGCUCGAAAUGUGAUAAAUUAUCUGUCUAUUUUACACAACUAAUCCUUCUUGGAAAUCACAGAAAACCUGGGGUAAAAUGCAUGAUGUUGGUAAUCAGAACUGAGGAAAGCUUAACCACUGUGAUAGUCAGGCCAAAUCUAGGAAUAUCUGUAUAUCCACAGUCCUUUUUUUCCUUAGGGAUCCUACCUAUAUCCUAUCUGCCUGAGGAUAUCAACUCAAGACAGAACUCUAGGUGGCCUUGAUCUAAAUUGCUUGACCUUACCAUCUGCAUUUGACCUAAAGCAGUCAGGCUUUUUUGGAAUCUGACCCAUUAAAUGACCUGGUACAAGUACUUUAUAUCCAACUCAUGAUGGUGACAUAAUGGACUGAUCAGAUCCUCUCUUUUAGGAAAUUUUAAAUUCAAGGUAGAGAGAAUUAUUUGAUAGGGACAGAAGUCAAAUACUUAGCCAGAAAAAAAGGUAGACAAAGAUGAGUCAGUAGAAGCUGUGAGUAAGCAAGAGUGAUAAAUAAGUAAAAGCUAAGUCAUGAAAUUUUCAAAAAGUGUGUGCGUAGGCCUACAGAUAUUUUACUUCAUAUCUGCAGGGGAAGAGGAUGAUCAACAAAUUACCACUGCGAGAGGCAUAAGGAACUAACCAAAUUUUUGCACAUCUGUCUAAUCCUGGGAACUUGAAAUCACAACUUGAAAUCCUCAGUCUGUGUUCCUAUACUUUGCAUGAGGCCCAGUGAAGCUGCUUUCCAUUAAUUACCAUGAGGCCCAGCCACACGGCAUACCUUGUUCCUUGUUUUCAUGUGGAGCCUAUGAUAAUGCCCCCUCUGACCCUCCUCCCUCACACACACAACCUCACAGUUACUGGAGAUGACUUGAGUCAGUCUCUGUUCUUUGUAGCCAAAGGAUCCUAAUUUACACACCUGCUCUGUGAGUUCAUCUCUUAUUAUGUUGGCUGUGCAACCAAGGCGAGGGCUGAUGCACGAUAGCAAUUUCAUGCCCACGUCAAAAGUGUACAGACUCUGAAUAGGAAAGGCAGUUCACCUCUAAUUGUUUAAGAAAGUUGACGGGGUACAGGGAGGGCCCAGAGAAAGAUGGGUAACCCUGAUGCCAUGACAUUCGAGGACACUACAUGGAAAUGUGCAUUUAGUGGGAAAAAAAAGCAUAGGAACAAUAUGUUUUUCUUUGCUCACUGCUAAAUUAUGAGUUCCUGAGGCAUUCUUCUCGAUGUGCCUCACCAAUGCCCGGGAGGGGGCUUUGCACACAGCAGGUGGAGCACUAAAUUGGUCACAUGAUGUGGCCCAGCCAUUGGUUUGUUUAGUAUCGGCUUUGAAUUCGCUGGUAAAAAUACACUUGUAGGCAGACUAAACUGUUAACUGAAGAGACAGACAUGAAUCAGAGACAAGAGUAGGAUUUCCAGAAGCUUCUGGGAGAGGUAGAUAUAGACAGCGCAAAAUAGUCUAGAAACUAGAGGAGCUAAUUUCAAAGAGCCAGAUAAGAAACUGCCUUCCUCAUUCAGGGUACAAAGGACCAGAACAUACUGUUAUCGGGAACAUCUGCAGCCCACAGUACAGCGUAGCCUUUGGCCAGAGAGCAUGAUGUAAGGAAUGGGUAGUGGAGGAGAACUGGCAAAACACAAAUUCUGGAUUCUAAUUUUAAAAUGGCAGAGCAUAUAUGGCAUUAUCUUCCUUGUCUCUCACAAAGCAUGCAACUGCACUAGGAGAACAAAAAGAAAAAACAUGAGCCCCACCUUUAAAGAAACUAGACGUGCAGCCCCAAACCACAGUAUGCAAUGAGGAAGAGACAAAGCCAGUUGAAGAAAGAUAACCACAGCUGCACAUCCCAGACAAACCAGUAAUGCCCAGUUGAGACUAAUGGGAGCCAGGGUGCGGGCUGGCAGCAAGAGCUUCCUUGGCCCUGAUUAGGCAGAAAGAGGAAGCAGGGUAAUGCGCUGAAGGGAGAAUCACACGGAAAAGAUUGAAAACACAGGCAAAAGCUUACCAGGAAAACACAAACACUAGAGUAAGAUUGCAUCUUUAACAUCAGACAUGAUUGGAUUUGGAGGACAAAGCUUUAAAUAAGGCAAAGAAGGAUGAUUCAUAAUAGCAGUAUACUACCACCAUCUAUAAGGAAAACCAACAGGAAAUAUGAAAUUUCCUACAGGAAAUACUUACAUGAUUGUGGUAGGAAAAUAUUAAUUCACUUCUCUUAGUCCAGGAGAUCAGGUAGACAAGAGAUAAGAAAAAGAAAACCCAAAUAAAAAUAAUAAAUAAAGCAAAUAUUUGGUAUUUGCCACUUUGUGUUCUGAAAGGUAAGAAUAGACCUUUUUAAAUGCUGAAUAAAACAUUCACAAAAAUAGCUUAGAAAGGAAAUUGAAUGAAUUUCAAAAGGUGAAAGGAAGGCAUACAGCAUUCUCUAAUCUUAUUGCAAUAAAACUAAAAGUUAAGGAUGUUUAAUUUAUCAUUUGAACAUUUAAAAAUUUUUAUUUAAAUAACUCUUGGAUCACAGAGGAAACCAAAGAGGUUAUAGAAAAUCUAGGGAAAAAAGCACAGUGAAAACACAUCAUUCUCAGAACCCAUGGGACACAGCAAAAGCAGAAUUCAGAAGCACCUCUCUUACUGAAGAAAGAAAAUGAAUAUCUAACUCAAAAAGUUAGAAAAAUGAUCAACAAACCUUAAACAGCAGAAGGUAGGAAUAAAGAUAAAAGUUAAUGGACUGGAAAAAGGAAAAUUGAUCAGACUAAUAAAUAAAAGAGACAGUUAUUUAAAAUAAAUAGGUAAAUCUUUAGCUAACCUAAUAAAAUUAGAAAGUGGGAGGGGAAGAUAGCAUAGAUGAGAAAUAAACAUGUGGAAAUGGUAGAAACAGAAAAGAAUAAAAGAAUCAUAAACUAUUUUGCUCAAUCCUGUACAAAUUGGGAACCUGCAAGAAAGGGUGAUUUUUCAAGGAAAACAGAAAUGAUCAAUACUCAUCUCAGAUAAUUAGAAAAUCUAAACUAUCACAGAAUAACUUCCACCCCAACCUCCAGCCCCCUCCAGAAAAGCCUGAGUGAGGCCCAGGUGAUUUAACAGGUGGCUGCUAUCAAUUUCUCAGGAACAGAUGAGGCCAAUCUUCCCAAAUAUAUGUGCUUUAAUAAGUAUGGAGAUCUCUGAGAAGAGACAAAAAUUCCCAAACAGUUGUUAGCCCUAGGGAAUGGAGGUAGGACUAAGGGACAGUAUUGGAAGCAAGUCUUAACUUUUUUCUGUCUUUUGUGUCUUUCUAUUUUAUGCCAUAGGUGUAUAUUACUUACCCAAGUGCGAGGAAUUUAGAAUAUAUUUGUUUCACGUUUGGACAAGUUCACAAAACCAUUUGGCUUUUGUUAUUUUGUUCGGUUUACCUUGAUUUUUUUGGUAGGUAAACAUGUUUAAAUGGCCUCCCUACAGAUGUCCCACCCUAAUCCUGAGAACCUGUGAAUAUGAUGAGAUCUGACUUCUGUGAUUAUGUUCCAUAUCACAGUUGACCUCAACAUAAGGAGAUUAUCUUGGGUUAUCUGAGUGAAGCUGACCUAGCCCUAUGAGAGCUUCCUUUGGCUGAUGGCAGAGGGCAGUCAAGGAGAUAGGAAGUAUUGGAAGGUGUGACUGUGCAGUUGUGGCUUUGAAGAUGGAGGAGAUCACAGGGGAAGGAAUGCAGGUGGUUCUGAGGAGCUGAGGGCAGCCCCCCGCCCCCCAGGUGAUAGCCUUAAAGGA